rnacentral:rRNA from 1 species
GUCCACACCGUAACGAUGGAUACUCGCUGUCGGCGAUACACGGUCGGCGGCCAAGCGAAAGCAUUAAGUAUCCCACCUGGGGAGUACGCCGGCAACGGUGAAACUCAAAGGAAUUGACGGGGCCCGCACAAGCGGAGGAACAUGUGGUUUAAUUCGAUGAUACGCGAGGAACCUUACCCGGGCUUGAAGUGCCGGCGACGGCGGGCGAGACCCCGCUUCAGCAAUGACGCCGGCAUAGGUGCUGCAUGGUUGUCGU